AUUCCAGCUCCAAUAGCGUAUAUUAAAGUUGUUGCGGUUAAAAAGCUCGUAGUUGGAUCUCGGCGGGCAGGGGGUGGUUCGCCCUUCAGCGCUACUGCCCCGCUUUGCCCGUGUGAUUGGCGGAGGUUUCGGGGUGCUCUUCGUUGAGUGACUCGGAGCGCCGUCAGGUUUACUUUGAAAAAAUUAGAGUGCUCAAAGCAGGCUUUUCACGCUUGAAUAUUCGUGCAUGGAAUAAUGGAAUAGGAACUCGUUUCUAUUUUGUUGGUUUUCGGAAAUCGAGUUAAUGAUUAACAGGGACAAUUGGGGGCAUUAGUAUUCAGACGACAGAGGUGAAAUUCUUGGACCGUCUGAAGACUGACUACUGCGAAAGCAUUUGCCAAGAGUGUUUUCAUCG
rnacentral:rRNA from 1 species